GAAACUUCAUCAGACUGCAGCCUUCGCUUCACUUCUCACUUUAUUGCUUCACUUAUAAAUUCAGCGCGUUCUGCGUGUUAAUGUGUGGAAGCAGCAGCAGAACGAGUUGCGUUAUCAGUGGGAAAUCUGACUUGAUUUUGCAGAGAGAAAUCCUGCAGCAGCUGACGCCAACUCAUCAGUGAGAAGAUCAGCAGCAAACCGCCAACACGAGUCAAACAGGCCGAGAGAGAAGGAUCCUGCAGCAGCUGCCACCUACACACCAGUGAGACAAACGGCAGCUAAUGAGACAAAAGAGGCGAGAGAGAGCGAUCCAGCUGCAGUUUAUUCCUUAUUGCACGGAACAACUGACAUCAGUUAUGGAGAAAUCAGCAUCAGGACAAAGAGCAGGCACAGAG